UGAUGAGAAUCUUUGAUUAGCUCUAGAUCAAGAGCUGCUUUUGCAGCGAUGAGCGACAUUUUGCAUGUAUUACCUGAUUU
rnacentral:snoRNA from 1 species